GUUGAACGCUGGCGGCGUGCCUAAUACAUGCAAGUCGAGCGAACAGACGAGGAGCUUGCUCCUCUGACGUUAGCGGCGGACGGGUGAGUAACACGUGGAUAACCUACCUAUAAGACUGGGAUAACUUCGGGAAACUGGAGCUAAUACCGGAUAAUAUAUUGAACCGCAUGGUUCAAUAGUGAAAGACGGUUUUGCUGUCACUUAUAGAUGGAUCCGCGCCGCAUUAGCUAGUUGGUAAGGUAACGGCUUACCAAGGCGACGAUGCGUAGCCGACCUGAGAGGAUGAUGAGGAGCACUGGAACUGAGACAAGGUCGAGACUGCUAAGGGAGGCAGGAGUGGGGAAGAUUGGACAAUGGGCGAAAGCCUGAUCCAGCCAUGCCGCGUGUGUGAAGAAGGUCUUCGGAUUUUAAAGCACUUUAAGUUGGGAGGAAGGGAAGUAAGUUAAUACCUUGCUGUUUUGAAGUGACCAAAAGGAUAAGCAACGGCUAAAUUCGUG
rnacentral:rRNA from 1 species